rnacentral:tmRNA from 1 species
GGGGGCGAAAUGGGUUCGACGGAGGCAAGAGGGUUUUGGUCGCACGCCGGGGUGCUGUUGGCCCGUAAAACAAACAGCACUGCGAAUUUAUCCGCAGACAAUAACGGUUACCUCCAAGCGGCCUAACGGCCGCUAGGCGUUCCGCCGCUGUUCGCCCAUGACAGCGGGUCGGAACGUCAUUUAGUGGGCUAGACCUGAGCCGUUCACCGAUUGGGCAAAGGGUCGAAAUUUAAAUCGGCUGGCUGUCGUGAAGCCUGUCCGUGGGCGCUGCGACGGCGAGCUAAAAAUUGCGGACUAAGCGUGUAGUGGCCAUUUCCGGAAGGUCUUCGGACGGGGGUUCAAUUCCCCCCGCCUCCACCA